CAUGCUUGACUGUAGAUGCCA
rnacentral:siRNA from 1 species